ACGGCCAUACCAUGCUGAAUAUACCGGUUCUCGUUCGAUCACCGAAAAGUCAAGCAUCAUUGGGCGCAGUCAGUACUUGGGAGGGUGACCACCUGGGAACACCGCGUACUGUCG
rnacentral:rRNA from 1 species